UGGUUCUGGCAUNGAUGAAGAACGCAGCGAAAUGCGAUAAGUAAUGUGAAUUGCAGAAUUCAGUGAAUCAUCGAAUCUUUGAACGCACAUUGCACCCUCUGGUAUUCCGGGGGGUAUGCCUGUUCGAGCGUCAUUACAACCCUCAAGCUCUGCUUGGUAUUGGGCGCCGCCGGUCGCGGCGUGCCCUAAAACCAGUGGCGGUGCCGCUCGGCUUCAAGCGUAGUAACACUUCUCGCUUCUGGAGCCUGGGUGUGCCCCCGGCCAUCAACCCCCAAUUCUGUCAAUGGUUGACCUCGGAUCAGGUAGGGAUACCCGCUGA
rnacentral:misc_RNA from 1 species